UACGGAGGGUGCAAGCGUUAUUCGGAAUUACUGGGCGUAAAGCGCGUGCAGGCGGGUGGAUAAGUCUGAUGUGAAAGCCCGGGGCUCAACCCCGGAAGUGCAUUGGAAACUAUCCAUCUUGAGUGCUGGAGAGGAAGGGGGAAUUCCCGGUGUAGAGGUGAAAUUCGUAGAGAUCGGGAGGAAUACCAGUGGCGAAGGCGCCCUUCUGGACGGCAACUGACGCUGAGACGCGAAAGCGUGGGGAGCAAACAGG
rnacentral:rRNA from 1 species